UCAGGCAGCUGAUGCUAAUUGUGGUAAUAAAAGAGGGUGAAGUAAAACCCCAAGUGCUCUCUUGCAGUGUGAAGAGAAGCUGGGUCCCUUGAGCUGCAUUUAGACACAUAGAGAAAAGCAAUUUAUAAAGCAGUGAGCAGAACACUAUUCUGGAGAAUGAGAUGUCUGAUUUUUGUUCCAAGCUUCCCCGGAGUGACCUUGCACCGCCACUUUCUCUGUAUUUCAGCAUCCACAACUAUAAAAUAUAUUUUGAGAAACCAUUUCCAGUUGCUUUCAACUUGUUUUGGAUUCAACUCAUGAUCUUAAUGAUGAAGGAUGCCCCAAUCCAUUAGCAGUCAUCUGAGCCAUCCAGAUCUCUUGAGAGCCUGUUUCAGUAAGUUGGUCAAUGUUCCCGUGAGAUGCAUACAAAAUAUAUUUUACAAUUGAAGUAUUUUUUUAAUUCAUCAUUUGAAUCAAAUUACAAGGCACUCAAACAGUGAAUAAUUUAUAUUUCCCAAAAAGAUGUUAGGAUAUUAAAUAGCAGCAAUAAUGUUAAGUUUAUUAAAUUGUUGCAGAGAACUCUUUCCUAUUUUUGAUACUGCCUCAAACUCUUCACCCUUAUCAAAUAAUUUUUUCUAUCUUUGACUUGAUUGUAGAGCUGUUUCUGUGUGGUUUUUGUUUUUCAGAGUUGUAGUGGUUUUUAGUUGUUGUUCUUGUUUUGUUUUUCACUUGCUUGCUGCUUUUGUUAUGUUUAAUGUUUACUGGGCGAAUCUUUUCAGGUCAGACAUUUCCCCAGCUGGAUCAUCCAGUCACUGAAUUUUUUAAAACAAAAUUGUUUUCAAAAUUGUAUUUCUGUGUAUUCUCUGCAUAUGGGGACAAAUGUGCAAUUCUUUUCCCAAAUGCAUAUUGCUCUUCUGGCAAAGGUUGCAUAUUGCCUGAGUACCUGGCUUUGUAAUGUAUCAUCAUAUUUGUAUAAAUGGCUAUAUGUCUUCUGGUAAAGUGUUUUCGAAGAGAUACAAACGCAUGUGGAGGAACACAAUUAUACGUGCGAUACUUGUUGGCAAAGUUAAAAGUGUGGAUGUUGAUUCUGUGAGAAUAACAGCAAAAAUGGUAUAGUUGUUUUUUCCCACUUGAGUUUUAGCAGGAAGAUUUCAGGACACCCCAUAGAAAAUUUCAAAAUAGAGAAAGAAUGCAUUGGAAAUGGAAUUUUCCUCUGAGAAAGCUGCAUGUGUAGAUAGGUUUGUGUAGACUAAGUUGUUGCAAUCUGAAAGGAAAACUUCAGUGUGAUCAGCCAAUUGAAUACUUUAGGGGUGGGAAGAGUUGAAAUAGCUGUAAUGUAAGGGUCAUAUUACUUGCCUAACAACCACAGAGAUGAAGAUAAGAAAGCAUUGUGAGCAUGAUAACAAGGAUAUUAUGAUGGUUAACAUGACAUUUAUGUGUCAGUGGAAUGAGCAAUUCUAUAAGCCCUCAGGAAGACAAGGGUUGCUGAAACGUGACAAAUUUAUUAAACCCAUUUCCUAACACUCUAGUUUCCAUAUUUUUUUCCCUGCAAUACCACAGUGAAUUCUGUGGCAUGAUAAUAGAGAAAAAAGAAUGGCACCUGGCAGCAAGGUAGCAGAGCUGGAGUGCCUCUGUUCUUGCAUAAAGAGGGAGAAACAGAAGCUUGCUUGUCUCUGCAGGAUAUGGAGAACUUCUCCACAGAAGGUGGAAGGUCCAAAUUGAUAGGUAUUGUCAAAAGGACCUUCAGGUAAGGGCUAGCUUCUCUCACUUAAAAAGGUUAGAAGCGGUGGUACGAAGUACAUGUGUGAGAGGAGAAAAUAAAUUUUCCUCCUGCCAAAGACAGAUGGGAGGAUAAUAUUUACACAAAGGGAGAUGGAAGAGAGUGAAGGAUAGGAAAAGAUACAGAAACAAUAUGGCUCACCUUGAGCGGUGAUUUCUAGGUGAACAUUUUGAUAUCCAGUUUCAAAUAGUGAAAAUGUAACGAAAACGGAAGUGGAAAAUAAUUUCAUUUUGACCUCAUCACACUGAGCACCGCCUCUUGUGUUAUACAGAAAAAUUGUACUGUUGGGUAGUGGGUAUAAUCUUGAAGGCUGGUGUCUGUUCACUUGCUUGAGCAACUUUGCAAACAGAUAAAACGUUAUUUGUCGUGAGGAUUAAUCGCAGUCCAUACUACAAAGUGACCACGUAAAUCAGCUUUUUCUCAUCAUCUCAAUCAAGGACUAUACAGCUGCAGAAUAUGGCAUUGAAACAAACCGUAAGUCAUCCAAUUAGAACAUGUUUUUUUCUUCCUGUUACACUGCAUGCUUGUCUAUCUAGCUACAAUGCGUAGUACCCAUCUGCGGACAAGCGGUUGACCUAUGUAGAUAGUCUACGUACUGGAGGUAAUAAAAAUUAUAGUGCAACUUAAACCCUUUUUCAGGGAGGACAAGUGCCUUAGCUUGUAAGUGAAAGCAGGCACUAUGUAUCCUCAGCACGGUACAGAGAACUGUAGCAGUUGGAAAACAAGGGUGUCUGUCUUCCACUGAAGCACAUCCAACCACUGCCAUGUGAAAGACUCAUGCUAAAGCUGACUUUCUGGGCUGGAGGGGAAAAACUGCAAUUUAAACUCCACUGAAGACAGAAUAGGGCAUUCUCUAGGUAAAAGCAGUUAUGCAAAGUAUUCCCUGUAGGCUACAAUGCAAAUGGAACAUCUUAUCCAAACUAUAACUGAGACUUGAAAUCCUUUGGAAAGUGAUCUGGGGUUUAUGGAUGUAUAUCUAAAAGAAAAUGUAUGCUGUGAUGUACAGGAACAUGAGUUAACUUGGGUGAUAAUGCUCAUAUCUAACGGUUUGCCUAAAAGUUCUGGUUACAAGUUCUCUAGCGAAACAGAAAGCAUCAGAAAUAUGCAUCCUCCAAAAUUAAAGAAAAUACCUCAGUUUCAAGAAACUUCAUCCAGACCAGUUAUAAUCUUGCAUGAUGGACUUCCAUAGCUAAGUAGAAUUGCAAGAUAGACAAAAAUUUGCUGAAGACUCUAAACGAGAUGACUAUACCCAGACCAGUUCCCACUCCAAGCAAACAGGAAACUUUCAUAAGGAAAUUCCCUUGCGGCUUCCAAACGAAAACCCUUCUAAUUCAAGAGAAACUACGCACCAAGCAUUGAAAACUAUCAAAAUAAAGUAUCUGUUUUUAUGGAAAGUUGCUAUUUGAAAUGUUAUUACUUAAAACUUAGUUGCUGCAGGAUAUGACUUAAGCCACUGCUGAUUAAUGCUCUUUAGAAAUAUGACUUCAACUAACACCGAAGUGCUUGGUGCUCAUUGUCUGUAAACAGAUCUAAUUUCUUUCAUUGCAGUAACCGAUGAAGUUACAUUGCUAUUUUUAGUGCUGGACCUGGUCUUCAAUGCAUUUCUAAAUUGUUUUGUAUCCGCCAGCCAGAAAGGAAUUGUUUGUGGGGAAAGAAGUAAACAAACAAACAAAAGCCCGGAGAUAAUUUCUUUUUGUGAUCUUGUUGGGGUGAUAGCAGGGAGAUGUUUGCUUGAAUGUGAAACAGUGAGCCAGUGCUGCUUCACGGUGAGUCACUCAAACUCUCUGUGCGACUGGUUUCUUUUUCUUUUAGCAAAAUUACGAUAAUUACCAGCCUGAAAUGAUUGUGGGACUAAUUAAUUCUUUGCAAAGUACUUGAGAAUUGUAAAGGG